GACUGGUCGUGUACAACCACCUCUUUGACCAUGUAUGACUGGCUGAAGCUGGAGGACAUACAUGCAAGUCUAUACCUCGUUAAAUGCGACACUGUCUUGAAUAGAGCUCAGCACAAACAAGGAGAGAAGCAAACAAAGUGGACCAAAUGUUGCAAUGGGAUUUGCCUGUUCUUUAUAUUAAUCUGUGUCAUUUGGGCUCCUAUGCUGAUUUACAGCAGUGGCAACCCAACAAAUAUUGCAAACCCAAUUAAAGAUGCAAGUGUUCAGCUUGAUAUCAAGACUGCAGGUGGGAGGUUGACGUUGUAUCAAACUACUCUUUGUGAGAAACUCCAAUGGGAUAAUGUCAACUCAGAUGUUGAUCUAGAUCCUAAUGGUUAUUUAAAUUUAUAUAAUAAGAAUGAUAUUCAGCUGAUAUGCUGCCAAGCAGAUGCAAGUAUGUUAUGGCUUGUUCCAGAUGUGGUUCAGAAGAGAUUUAUCCAGUCCCUUGACGGGGAUCUGGAUCUGGAUAUUCUUUUCAUUUGGGUACUUAACAGGGAGAGGCCAAAGGGCAAGGAAGUUGUGAAAUAUGAGAAACCUGUUGAUUCUCUGGAUCUUCCAACACGAUCAGAUGUCCAGAAAGUUCUUAAUGGUUCAACAAACAGCUUUAGGAUAUACAAUCUUUAUCCUAGGUACUUGCGUGUUACUGGUUCUGGUGAUGUCAGACCUUUGGAACAAGAGGUAAGCGCAGUCAGUGCAGAUCUCAUUAUAAAUCGGGCAGACUUUAGCUGGUGGUCAUUUCAUGGUAUCAAUUCAUCAGAUUUAAGCGGCUGUGGAGGCUUGACAGGACCCACGGCCAUCAUAAUGUCUGAGGAAACUCCACCACAGGGAAUUCUUGGUGACACAAUCAGCAAGUUCAGCAUCUGGGGUCUUUACAUAACUUUUGUGCUUGCUGUGGGUCGUUUUAUCAGACUUCAGUGCUCAGACUUGAGAAUGAGAAUACCAUAUGAAAAUCUACCUUCCUGUGACAGGUUGAUAGCCAUCUGUGAGGAUAUAUAUGCCGCAAGAGCAGAGGGUGAGCUUGGAGUUGAAGAGGUCCUUUACUGGACACUUGUAAAGAUUUACAGAUCACCACAUAUGCUCCUCGAGUACACCAAGUACACCAAACCAGACUAGGUUGAUUUAGUUACAGUGAAAUGCACACGUAUAUGUAUCAACUUUGAUUCUUCUUUUUGCGCCCCUGAGAAACUCCGGCACACUAAUCACAUGGUUUCUGCAGAGGAUCCCU
rnacentral:misc_RNA from 1 species